AACAACGCAUCGGAAAAGUUCGUUCCAAUGAAAAUCAGUCAUGCUUUGUUUUUUAUAUUUUUCACUUCGUGUUGGUAAUAAUGUCUUCUCUGCCGUCAGAUGGUGAAGGUCAGUGUCGCUCUUUAAGAUUCACUUGUUCUCCCAUUCAUGGCUACCGUCUGAAGAAUCACACAAUACGAACUAUUGAUGUGUCUAAUGAAGAUGUGUGCGAACUCCAGUGUUAUCUGGAACCUAACUGUGUUAGUUAUAAUUUCAACAAGACGAAUCAGGAAUCUGGGCUACACAAGUGUGAGUGAAUAACGCUACUUACGAUCAUGCGCACCGAGGAGAUCUUAAGAAAAACAGGAAAUAUUUGUAACGAGGAGCUGAGAAUGCCUGCUCGAGAAAUCCUUGCAAAAAUAACGCAACAUGUCAAGCUGGUUUUACAGAGAGAGAUUAUCAGUGUUUGUGUACUGCCGGAUUUGAAGGCCACGACUGUCAUUCGGGUAAGGAAUUGUUAAGUUAUGCGGAUGAAUACACAUCAGCGAAAGAGCAGAG